UUUAAACUGGUUUGGUCUGAGCUGACUUUCAUUCAUGCGAAUGCUGAUGGAAACUGUGGUGUGUAACCAUGGCAACUUCAUCUCUGAAGUUGCUUAGCAACUUGUGUAGGUGUGAUGUGCGUUUAAGAAAGUAAGCUAGUGGCACACACACACACACACACACACAUACACACACACACACACUGAUUAUAAAUACUCUCAUUAUUUUGUUCACCCAUCGUACCAUAUACGCUGCCUUUCUGUUUGGAUCCUGCAUUUCCUUAUAUGGUCAUUGCUUCCUGUUUGUGCUGCCCAUAUUUUUCAUAUCUAAUCAAACCAAUCGAGUCCUUUUCAUGCACGUAAACCUGUAUUAGCGAUUAAUAACAAGCCAUUAUAACAGGAAAUGCUGCCCAUAUAAAGAAAGCGAGGACACAACACCAGAUAGAGUAUAGCGGGUGAAGCCGGAUAAGAUAAGAGUGGCCGGUCAGUAAGUGUGUUUGUGAGGGAUGCAUGUUAAUACUGGAUUAUUUGGGUUACUGGGGAUCUGGAUAUGACGAACUCUGAACAUAAACACCAGAACAGAUCUGGGUGUUGGGUGGUGUAGCGGUAAAUGACGCACACCACUAGCAGGGUUCGAAUCCCCAUGGCUGCUAUCAACCAGUCGGGCGUCUGAUUGGCUGUGUCUGAAGGGGGUGGCCAGGGCAGGAGUGUAUUUAGAGACGAUCCAUAGGAUCCUGUCGCUGUGUGCCAACACUGCCUUGCCACUGUGCCCCCCCACCUCGUCCCUCAAAGUGGCAUCACAACACAACACCCCACAUUCAACAACAAGAUCCAUUGUGCGAAUGUGUGUGUGUGUGUGUGUGUGUGUCACAGUACGGUCACGAGGAGUGAAAUCUCCUCCAUCACCACCGCAAGUGGCACACACACACACACACACUAAAACACUUGUUCUCACACACACUCUUUGAUACAUCUUAAAUCAGCUGGUAACCAAUCAUAUCAUAUCUGAACUCCCCCCCCAUACACACACACACACACCUGUACAUAACAAUACAGCUGUAUAUAGUGACACACACACACACACACACAGAGCAGGCCUACCUGUGUGCGUGGCACCUGUGGAAACAGGUUGAGGGUGGUGGGCCGUUUGGGCCGGUACGUGUCCAUGGUGUGUGUGGUGUGUUUAUCCCUGUUGCGUGUAUCCUUGGUACGAGUAUCUGUGUUGUGCGUAUCCCUGGAGUGUGUUGCGGCGGAUUGUGUAUCACCGGUGUGAGCUCCCUCUGCUUCGUCAAUCAGCUCCAAGUGAAGCAUCUCCGAGCGGACACGCCCCACAGCUCCCAGCUCCACACUCCGAGCCAUUCUGUUGGACGGCCGUGUCACGUGACCCUGCCGUUAUUGGAGGAGAAGACAGAGGCAGAGUCAGCGCAGGCGUACAGUCCUCAUCCUCAAACUCAUCCAGACUGAUGUCAUGGGUCAGCCUAAAAAAUACAGAAACACUGUCAGCUAAACUCCUGUUGUACUGGUUUAUAACGGGAAACCAGUAAAGCACCGACGUUCUCAGGAUCAUUUGUGACGUUAGGCUCUGACAUUGGAUAAGAAGUCGAUGGAUUGGCGUCUUGUCCGGGUAUCAGAUGGUACACGUACCCGGAGGCACAGAGUCACAUACAGCGUAAUGAAAUUCACCCCAAUACACGACGACCUAGAUGUGGAACCGGCGCUACAGGAACAGUAAACGUGUCGCUGAGGAUGCUGUACAGUGCAAUAACUCAGGACGGCCAGAGCCAGCAGACAAGAUAAUGACUUUUCAUCAACAUGAAGACAGAAUCCUGAUUUCUAAGAGCAGAAAGAAAAGCCGCACGUCUCACCGCAAAGCCGCAAACUGAUCCGCUUUCUUCAUCAGCACAAUCUCAGCAUGAAAGUUCAAUUCCUACCUGAAAUGGCCAGACUGGGAACACUGGGCAGAGUGGGCUGGGUUCGAGCCUUUCCUCUUCUCUCUCUCCGCCAUGUCUCCUUCUCCUCCCUCCUGUUUCCCUUCAUCAGCAGGUUGAGGAGCAGCACCGGAGCAGGAACAGGGAGGAGAAGGUGGUGCUGAUGGAGGAGGUGGUGCUGAUGGAGGUGGAGGAGGUGAUGGAGGUGUAUGUGGUGGUGCUGAUGAUGCUCAGAUCCACAAUUACGUUCACGAAACCAAAAAAUACCCACGUACAGCUGGGUACUGACUGCUUUAUACCAACGCCAGCUGAUGGUGUGGCAUCAGUGCCACACCUUUAGAUUUCAGCUUGAGAACAAGAGAAUGGAAAAUAUUCGUUAUAUUAAUUCUAAUCUGUCAUUCUUACUAGAAUUUGUACUAAUUAUUUUAUUGUAAUAUUCACACUAAUAUUUCUAGUACUUAAAUAUAUAUAUAU